rnacentral:rRNA from 1 species
CCAAUAGCGUAUAUUAAAGUUGUUGCAGUUAAAAAGCUCGUAGUUGAAUUUUGGGUUUGGCCGAUUGGUCCGUUCUUGUAACGAGUACUGGUCGGUUGGGCCUCACCGCUUGGUGAUGCGUAAUGCCCUUUAUUGGGUGUUGCGAGUAGCCAAGACCUUUACCUUGAAAAAAUUAGAGUGUUUAAAGCAGGCAUAUGCCGGAAUACAUUAGCAUGGAAUAAUAGAAUAGGACAACGAUUCUAUUUUGUUGGUUUCUAGGACCGUUGUAAUGAUUAAUAGGGAUAGUUGGGGGCAUUAGUAUUCAAUUGUCAGAGGUGAAAUUCUUGGAUUUAUUGAAGACUAACUACUGCGAAAGCAUUUGCCAAGGAUGUUUUCAUUAAUCAAGAACGAAAGUUAGGGGAUCGAAGACGAUCAGAUACCGUCGUAGUCUUAACCAUAAACUAUGCCGACUAGGGAUCGGGCGAAGUUGUUUCAAUGACUCGCUCGGCACCUUAUG